rnacentral:rRNA from 1 species
GUGACCUCGAUCAGUAGCAUCUCGUC